GAUGAACGCUGGCGGCGUGCCUAAUACAUGCAAGUCGAGCGAACGGACGAGAAGCUUGCUUCUCUGAUGUUAUCGGCGGACGGGUGAGUAACACGUGGAUAACCUACCUAUAAGACUGGGAUAACUUCGGGAAACCGGAGCUAAUACCGGAUAAUAUUUUGAACCGCAUGGUUCAAAAGUGAAAGACGGUCUUGCUGUCACUUAUAGAUGGAUCCGCGCUGCAUUAGCUAGUUGGUAAGGUAACGGCUUACCAAGGCAACGAUGCAUAGCCGACCUGAGAGGGUGAUCGGCCACACUGGAACUGAGACACGGUCCAGACUCCUACGGGAGGCAGCAGUAGGGAAUCUUCCGCAAAGGGCGAAAGCCUGACGGAGCAACGCCGCGUGAGUGAUGAAGGUCUUCGGAUCGUAAAACUCUGUUAUUAGGGAAGAACAUAUGUGUAAGUAACUGUGCACAUCUUGACGGUACCUAAUCAGAAAGCCACGGCUAACUACGUG
rnacentral:rRNA from 1 species